GCGGCUGAGAGGGAAGAAGGCACGAGAGGCAGACGACAGGAAGACACCGAGGGGACGAGACGGGAGCGAGAAAGCCAGAGGAGGGAAGAGGGGACACACAAUGAGAGGAGGAGGAGGAGGGGAAGAAGAAGAAGAAGAAGAAGAAACUCAUUCCAGCUGUGCUUCUGUCGCCAACAGAGUCGUGAGAACUUCUUCACGUCGACGACUUUUCCAGUGCAGGUCGAGGGAACAAACAAUUGCUUCUGACUUUUUAUUUCGUUUUUAGAAUUUUUUGAUCGAGCCCUGAUUCAAACACAAAGCUGACAGAAAUAGCAGCAACUCUCACUGGGUGGAGAGUCUUGCUGGUUCCGUUGUUAUUCUCUUCUCUUGUCAUUUGUCAAGAGUUUCAAACAUGAGCGCAGACAACUCGACCCUGCUGGACAGCUUGUUGUUCGCCCCCCUGUGCGAUGGCUGGAGCAACAACACGGAGGGAGCCAUCUACCACCUGGGCAACACCAUCCUGUUCCUGGGCUACAUGGGGGGCAGCGGGGCCUACGGGUGCCUCUUCAUCUUCGGCUUCAUGGCUCCGGCCUUGGCGUGUCUGACCCUGUGGGGCUGGAUGACAAUGUGCGGCCUGGACGUCUUCACCUGGAACCUGCUGCUGCUGCUGGCCUGCUUGGCCCAGAUCUGCCACCUGCUCUGCCGGCUGCACCAGGAGGGCAUACGCAGCGAGGAGCUCACCUCGCUCUACCAGGCGGUCUACCUGCCGCUGGGCGUGCCCGUCCGGGUGUUCAAGGAGAUAGCGAGGGCUUUCGAGAGCAAAGUGGUGGAGCUGAAGGCGGGAGAGACGUACGCCGUGGAGGGCAAGACGCCCAUCGACCAGCUCUCCUUCCUGCUGUCUGGGAGGAUCAGCGUAUCGUUGGAGGGCCAGUUCCUGCACUACAUCCACCGCCACCAGUUCCUCGACUCUCCAGAGUGGGAGUCUCUCAGACCAAACGAGGAGGGAAAGUUCCAGGUGACCCUGACGGCCGAGGAGGACUCCCGCUACGUCUCAUGGCGCCGCCGGCGCCUCUACAUGCUGAUAUCGAAGGAGCGCGACAUCGCCCGCCUCUUCUCCGUCAUGCUGGGCUACGACAUCGCCGAAAAGCUCUACAACCUCAACAGCAAGCUGUACAUCAAGAGCGGCGUGCUGCUGGACAUCCGCCUGCCCAGCCUCUACCACGUGCUGGCCCCGUCGUCGCAGGGCAGCGAGGGCGGCAGCUGCAGCGACGGCGGCGCCGCCAAGGAGCAGCACGUCGAGCAGCAGGACGAGGACCAAGUGCCGGCCUACGAGAAGUUCCAACCAGCCCAGCCUCAGCCCCUCCAGCCGCACCUGCAGGGACCAAGGGAGACGUACCUGGAUGAACCCCAGGCCCCUCAGCCUGACCGUUACCAGCACCCCUGGGCGUCAGAGCCUCUGGAGCUGCUCUCUGGUGAGGACUCCACCAGCCUGGUCCUGGAGGACUUUGCCGAUGUGGCGGGCUCCUUAAUGGAUUAUGGCAGUGAGAGGGAUUAUUUGAGGUAGAGGGGCAGGGUGCUGGAGCUAACACACUGGGUCACCUACUUAAGCUACAUGAGGUGAAAGCGGCGUGGAUCUACCGGCCCGAUUCCGAAGGGGCCGAGCGCCGCUGGCUCCCACCGACACGCCCAAACUGUGAGAACAGCCUCUCCUGGAAACACUCAGUUAUUUACUGUGUAGCGGUACGAAUGUGUCACGUGUCACUCGUUAUGGCACUGUCUCCUCCUCCUCUUCCUCCUCCUCCUCUUCCUCAUCUCUGCCCCUGGUCUCACCUCAGGUCACGUCUUCACUCGCGAGCACGUUGAACGCGUGCCCUUCUUUCUCCACGUUCAAAUUACGUUUUCAAAAAUGACGCGAAAGCCGAUAUUGAUAUGUUUCAAUAAUCAAUAUUUUGAGCUCAUGAUUUUCACCGUACUAGCCCUCGUCAUGAAGUCUCUGAAGCAGCAUUUAGGCAAAAAAAUGAUUGUCAUGAUAAUGACACCAUUAUCUUAACCGGUACUGAGACAUGGAAGAGAUUUGUCACUUAUACCAGCACAUUAAAUGUCUGAAUUAGUUAAUUCCUGUUAUAAAAAUAGAUCUUUAUGUUGACGAUUUUCAUUUUCAUGUUGUUUUUUUUCAUCUCACUAAUAUUCAAUGUAUUUGAAAGACUUUUGAUGUUUUGGUUCACAAAUAACUCAGAGUGAGUAUUGAUUUUUAACUGCACACUUUCUAGAUCGGACUUAUUGAGUCUGCGUCAUAGUCAAUUCUUCAUCCUGUCACGAGCGGGGAAAUGUUCAAUUGAGAUUUGCUCUAUUACUUCCAUGUGUUGUUGGGAAUGUUUGGUUUUAUCACCUGAACGCACCGUGACCCUGCACAGAGUCUUCCGUGGCGAUAUUACUAUUGGAUGUCUGUUGUAGACCAUGUUUCUUUUUAAAUAACCAAUUGAGUAUCUCAUACACACACACACACAUGCAUCAUGUGAAUUGUCUGUUGUUAUCUUCCAAAAAUAGAGAGAUGGGACUUAAAUGAUGCAGUCAAUGUUUUUUCAUGGGGCCAAGAUUUCUCCAUAAAGCUCUUUGUGUGCGGUGAAGAUG